GCUUUGCGGCUGGAUCCCCUCCUUUCUAAGGAAAGCAGGUAGGAGUUGGCAACAACUGCUACCAAAUCUGAAGGAGAUAGGGAGAGAAGUAAGUCCCUACUCUGGACAAAGAGCUAGAGUCAAUAGACAUCUGGCGAGAAGCAAGACAGGCUUGAAGAUGAGGGAAGAUGGCGUGGGGCGUGGCAAUCACUAUUCGGCAGUGAAGGGGCAGACAGAACCUUUGCCGGAUGAGUAAAGGGAAUGUAGCUCAGCUGGUUAGAGCACUCGCCCGAUAAGCGAGAGGUCAGAGGUUCGAGUCCUCUCAUUCCCAAACUGGGGACGUAGCUCAAUUGGGAGAGCGCCGCCUUUGCACGGCGAAGGUUAGGGGUUCGAGUCCCCUCGUCUCCACAGGCAUUGGGUGGUGAGGGCUGUUGGUAGGGAACUGUUGACAGCCCUCGGCAGGUAAUGUCGAGAGAAGAAAGUCAAGAAAAGAGAUAGUGGGAAAGCACUAUCGCACCUGAACAAGCGAAUAGAUGAUGUAACGAGCAUAAGGAUCAAUUUCUCCAAAUCACAUGGAUCAGAUGCGCAGGAGCGUGUUUGAGAAAACGAGUUACAAAACAGAGAAGGGCUUACGGGGGAUGCCUAGGCAUCAGAUGCCGAUGAAGGACGUGGUACACUGCGAAAAGCUUCGGUGAGGCGUGUGCAGCCGCAAGAGCCGGAGAUAUCCGAAUGGGGAAACCCGGAAGC
rnacentral:misc_RNA from 1 species